rnacentral:rRNA from 1 species
UCCGAAGGGGGCUAGCGUUGCUCGGAAUCACUGGGCGUAAAGCGCACGUAGGCGGCUUGUUAAGUCAGGGGUGAAAUCCUGGAGCUCAACUCCAGAACUGCCUUUGAUACUGGCGAGCUUGAGUUCGGGAGAGGUGAGUGGAACUGCGAGUGUAGAGGUGAAAUUCGUAGAUAUUCGCAAGAACACCAGUGGCGAAGGCGGCUCACUGGCCCGAUACUGACGCUGAGGUGCGAAAGCUGGGGGAGCGAACAGG